CCUUCGCAACUCACCCCACAAAGCAAUAACCCGGCCCUCUCCUUUCGUCACCAUCACAUCCAGCCAGCCAACAAAAAUGUCGCGCGUCACAGCUGCGGUGCUCUUUUACAUCCUCGCCGUUGCUGCCCUCAGCGCGGCCGAGGCCCCGGCAGAGUCACCGAAGGAAGGCAGUGCUGCCAAGGCACCUGAGGCUGCCAAGAGAACUGCUGCCCCCGCUGAAGCACCCGGAGCCGCGUCCACCCCCGUCGCCGCCGCUGCCCCAUCAUCGUCGUCUAGGAAGUCUGGUCCAGCUACCGCGCCAGCCACCGCCUCUACACCCCCUUCUUCCACGGACGAGGAGUUGAGCCCUUCCCCGCCAGCAUCCACCGCCGCGGCGUCCCCUGCGGCUGAGGGACCGGCUGCUGAUGACUCCGCCGGUGCUGCUGCCCUUGGAAGUGGAGCUGCCAUCGCCGGCGUUGCCGCUGCUGUUGCUACCAUGAUCUUCUUCUACUAAACUCACCGACGAUGGUCGUGUCGCGGUGAGACAUUAGGGUGGACACGUAAUUGGCUGUGCUGUAAUCGCUCUCGUCUGGUGGGGAGGGAGGGACCAAGUGUUUCUUUGCUUUGCUCACUUCGUUUGCUCUUGUAACAUUAUGGGGUCAACCGUUAUGUAACUAAUGGAUUUGAUUAAUCUGGUCUCUAACUCUCUAUCUGUCUAUCAUGCAUGUUUAUAUUCUAAUAUCUUACUGAUUUUACAUGUUUGCUUAACCGGAUCUUUAUAUCAUAAACAAAAUAUUCAGAGAAAUACAUAUCUUAU
rnacentral:misc_RNA from 1 species